UGAGGAAUAUUGGUCAAUGGGCGAGAGCCUGAACCAGCCAAGUAGCGUGCAGGAUGACGGCCCUCCGGGUUGUAAACUGCUUUUAGUUGGGAAUAAAAAAAGGGACUUGUCCCUUCUUGUAUGUACCUUCAGAAAAAGGACCGGCUAAUUCCGUGCCAGCAGCCGCGGUAAUACGGAAGGUCCAGGCGUUAUCCGGAUUUAUUGGGUUUAAAGGGAGUGUAGGCGGUUUGUUAAGCGUGUUGUGAAAUUUAGAUGCUCAACAUUUAACUUGCAGCGCGAACUGUCAGACUUGAGUACACGCAACGUAUGCGGAAUUCAUGGUGUAGCGGUGAAAUGCUUAGAUAUCAUGAAGAACUCCGAUUGCGAAGGCAGCAUACGGGAGUGUAACUGACGCUUAAGCUCGAAGGUGCGGGUAUCGAACAGGAUUAGAUACCCUGGUAGUCCGCACAGUAAACGAUGGAUGCCCGCUGUUAGCGCCUGGCGUUAGCGGCUAAGCGAAAGCAUUAAGCAUCCCACCUGGGGAGUACGCCGGCAACGGUG
rnacentral:rRNA from 1 species